UUCGGGAACAUUGAGACAGGUGCUGCAUGGCUGUCGUCAGCUCGUGUCGUGAGAUGUUGGGUUAAGUCCCGUAACGAGCGCAACCCUUGUCCUUAGUUACCAGCACGUAAUGGUGGGCACUCUAAGGAGAUCUAGCCGGUGACAAACCGGAGGAAGGUGGGGAUGACCGUCAAGUCAUUCAUGACCCUUACGGCCUGGGCUAUCACACGUGCUACAAUGGUCGGUAUCAGAGGGUUGCCAAGCCGCGAGGUGGAGCUAAUCCCCAGAAAACCGAUCGUAGUAACGGAUACGCAGUGCUGCAACUGCGACUGCGAGAAGUCGGAAUCGCUAGUAAUCGCGAAUCAGAAUGUCGCGGUGAAUACGUUCCCGGGCCCUUGUACACACCGCCCGUCACACCAUGGGAGUGGGUUGCACCAGAAGUAGCUAGUCUAACCUUCGGGAGGACGGUUACCACGGUGUGAUUCAUGACAUAGGGUGAAGUCGUAACAAGGUAAC
rnacentral:rRNA from 1 species